ensembl:lincRNA
CUUGAUAAAAGCGCCGGGCGGAGCGCGAGUCUGAGCUCGUGAAUGAACUGGAGGGAGCGCGUGAACGCGGAGGCAGUCUCGGACCGCAGUGUAGCGAUUCUUGAACACCCCGAUCACCGCUUGGCACCAGGAAGAAGAUGGAGAGGACACUGAUCAGGAAGGGACUUUUCUGUUGCUUAGUGGCUACAGUUGUCUGUUGCUGCACAGGAUCAGGGCUGUGUGUUCCUGAACACGCAGGGCGAGCGAUAUGUAUUUUCCUUGACAACAGCACAUUUUUCUGCAACUCCUCAGACCAGUGCGGUGUCCAACCAGGCCAAUGUAACCAGCUGCAGACCAGUGAAAAGCUACUGUGUACUGUUUAUUUCGAACAAGAUGUGAAACUCAGCAAAAGAAUGUGCUGCUCUGAAGAAAUUAUCAAAUACAAAUGUUUGCCAGAUAAAAGAAUCUCCUGUGAAUCCGACAAGAACAAAUGCACUGACUUAGACAGUGGCACAAAACUCUGUGAUGUCAUCUACCUGAGAAACCCAGAAGCACCCAUGAGCACCACACACACUGAAGUGCAUUCAGACAAUGCUGACAGUUCCACAGAGAACACAAACGCAGCAGCAGACUCUAAUAGUAGGGUGAAGAGUCUGGUUGGAGUGUUUGUGACUCUGGGUCUGUUAACCAUAACAGCUAUUGCUGUCACCCUGAUCCGGAAAUACAGGCGCUAGGCUGGAAUGGGGAAGGAUGAUCCAGAAGAAAUGCACCAGAGCAGAGAGCCUCUGUUUGCUGGUAACUGAAAGUCUGGCCUUUGUAAGGGACAGUUCAGGGGGAGCCGUUAAAGGAGUCUUCAUCUACACUGUCCUACUGUUCAGUUUCUUACUUUUAAUCUGCUCCACCUCUUGCUCUUAGGAGCAACUUCGCUACUGAAUAGGUUGUACCUCACUUGAUAGUAGUUUGGCUGCUGCUGCUCAGAAUUGUGGACUAGCCAUUCUGUAAAAUAACUGAGAGUAAUAUGGAAGAGGCUGCUUCCGAAGACCUCAAGGGACAGGUCGGGCUCAAAGCUCAGCCUUUGAUCCGGCCUGUUUUCUCUGGGGAAGAGAAUGACCGAAAUGUAGCAUGUCCGUCCAUCUCUGCGAGACCCGAUUGUGUUGGUGGUGAAACGUGUGGAUACACUGCCCUCUGCUGGCCAGAAGCGUCGGUGCACCUGCACUUUACCUGAAUGUGACAAAACGCUGAUCACAGCCACCAGCGACACCAGAGACCCGGGUUUGAAUCCAGUUGGGCCGGUCUGCCUUAGUAGAAUUGAACACAACAUGAGCACCUACAGAACAUACAUCCUAUACACCUGCUGGCGCUUUACUGCCAAGAGUGUGUUAUUUUUUUAUUCUCCAGGGAGUUCCUAAAUGUAUCUGGAACAGCUGGGCUGGUGUUUUAUGUAUAUAUUUCUAUUAUAUUUUUUACAGCAAUGUUUCAGGGAAGGGUUUGGAGCUAUCUGUAACAGUUACAAUGGGCUUGGUGCCUUGAUUGCCUGGACGCUAAUGGCCACUAAUGGCAGGACUGUUUUGCCACCCAAGGAGCCAGUGGACACUUGUCAGUGGACAGAGCCAGUGAGAUGAGGCCUGGACAAGACUGGGUCCUGAAGGACUGCACUCCUGUGUCUGCCUUGUCCCUGCUGGUCACUUCGGAAACACGUGUCUGUGGCUCUCUGACGGCUCAGAUCUUACACGCUACCCAAGAGCUGCACACACCAGCGGCAGCACUGAUGAGUGGGACGGAGUUGUGUCUGCUGGCAGCAGGGAACGAGAUUUCUGUCUCACCGGUGUUCAUGUCGUUCGGGAAUUCUUGGACUCUUGUUUUCACUUCUGUAAAUCCUGUGAUGUUGCUGUGUCCUGUACUCUGAGGAAGAAGAGCUGCUGUAUAAAGUGUUGGCUGGGAAAGGCUGCAAAACAAGAC